UAGUCCACGCCGUAAACGAUGAGUGCUAGCCGUUGGAACUUUAGUUUCAGUGGCGACGCUAACGCAUUAAGCACUCCGCCUGGGGAGUACGGUCGCAAGAUUAAAACUCAAAGGAAUUGACGGGGACCCGCACAAGCGGUGGAGCAUGUGGUUUAAUUCGAGGCAACGCGAAGAACCUUACCAGACCUUGACAUGCCUCUCGCGGAUUUCAGAGAUGAUUUCUUCAGUUCGGCUGGAUGGAUAACAGGUGCUGCAUGGCUGUCGUCAGCUCGUGUCGUGAGAUGUUGGGUUAAGUCCCGCAACGAGCGCAACCCUCGCCUUUAGUUGCCAGCAGUUCGGCUGGGCACUCUAGAGGAACCGCCGGUGAUAAGCCGGAGGAAGGUGGGGAUGACGUCAAGUCCUCAUGGCCCUUACGUGGUGGGCUACGACACGUGCUACAAUGGCAGUGACAAUGGGUUAAUCCCAAAAAGCUGUCUCAGUUCGGAUUGUCGGCUGCAACUCGCC
rnacentral:rRNA from 1 species